rnacentral:rRNA from 1 species
GACAGAGGGUGCAAACGUUGCUCGGAAUUACUGGGCGUAAAGCGUGCGCAGGCGGCUUUGCAAGACAGAUGUGAAAUCCCCGGGCUUAACCUGGGAACUGCAUUUGUGACUGCAUGGCUAGAGUGCGGCAGAGGGGGAUGGAAUUCCGCGUGUAGCAGUGAAAUGCGUGAGAUAUGCGGAGGAACACCGGUGGCGAAGGCGGCAUCCUGGACCAACACUGACACUGAAAAGCGAAAGCCAGGGGAGCAAACGGG